rnacentral:rRNA from 1 species
ACUCCUACGGGAGGCAGCAGUGGGGAAUAUUGCACAAUGGGCGCAAGCCUGAUGCAGCAACGCCGUGUGAGUGAAGAAGGUUUUCGGAUCGUAAAACUCUGUCCUAAGGGAGAAACAAAUGACGGUACCUUAGGAGGAAGCCCCGGCUAACUACGUGCCAGCAGCCGCGGUAAUACGUAGGGGGCAAGCGUUAUCCGGAAUCACUGGGCGUAAAGGGUGCGUAGGCGGCUUAGCAAGCCAGGGGUGAAAGGCAUUGGCUCAACCAAUGUAAGCCUUUGGAACUGUUAAGCUUGAGUGCAGGAGAGGUAAGUGGAAUUCCUAGUGUAGAGGUGAAAUUCGUAGAUAUUAGGAGGAACACCAGUGGCGAAGGCGACUUACUGGACUGUAACUGACGCUGAUGCACGAAAGCGUGGGUAGCGAACAGGAUUAGAUACCCUGGU